GGCAAAGUGGACUUUAAAAGUCAAGGGAGAAACAGUCUUGGAUCACGUGGUGUUCUGGUUUGGCUGUGCUGACCAGCAGAUGAAGACAUGCCAAUCCCCCUUCUCCCUCUGGGAUCUGGCAGGACUGGAGGCCACCUUAAUGCCCAAUCCAAGGCCAGGUGAAGUUCCUGCAGUGGCCACUGCUCCUACACCGACUGUCCUGGAGAUCAUAGAGCCACUGUUUCAGCAGCCUCUGAUCCGGGCAAUGGAGACCUCUGGUCAACGCCCCCAGGAUUCCAGCUCAGCUGGACCUCCUAGACUGUAUCUACCUCUCCCGGACAUCUUUUUGGAAGAGACU
ensembl:lncRNA